rnacentral:lncRNA from 1 species
GCUGCUUGGGAGGUUGAGACAUAAUCGCUUGUACCUGGGAGGCAGAGGUUGCAUCCAGCCUGGGAAACGAGUGAAGCUCUGUCUCAAAAAAAAAAAAAAAACAGGCCGGGCGCGGUGGCUCAAGCCUGUAAUCCCAGCACUUUGGGAGGCCGAGGCGGGCGGAUCACAAGGUCAGGAGAUCGAGACCACAGUGAAACCCCGUCUCUACUAAAUACAAAAAAAAUUAGCCGGGCGCUGUGAAGCCUGUAGUCCCAGCUACUCAGGAGGCUGAGGCAGGAGAAUGGCGGGAACCCGGGAGGCGGAGCUUGCAGUGAGCCGUGAUCGCGCCACUGCACUCCAGCCUGGGCAACAGCGUGAGACUCCGUCUCAAAAAAAAAACAAACAAACAAACAAAAAAAACAAAAAACAACUUUCUAUUUCCAUUUUUUAGACUCUUUAAAGAUAAUUUAGCUUUAUAAUUUACAACAUCUAUUAAGACAGUCAUUUUCUUUACUAACCCAAGUUUUUACUUGGUUGCACUUACAGCUUUCUUGUUAGAAACUUAACUUUCCUGAAGCAAAAGUAGUUCAAUUUGGGGUAGGAUAUUGUUUUAACUACUCAGAAUCCCACUUCCUUUCUCAUUUCUAAUAUUACAGUGUGUUUCCUCUUCCUCUCAUUGAUUCACCCUGGUUUUAUCAAUGUUUCUGAUUUACUUUUUCCAAGAAGCAACCCCCCAUUUGCUUUAGUUUUGUUUUCUCUAUGUUUUUAUUCAUUGUAUGUCGUUCACUUUCUUUAGCAUUGUUGUUUUUUUGUGAGGUUUUUUUUUUGGUAGAGACAGGGUCCUGCUAUGUUGCCCAGGCUGGUCUGGAACUCCUGGGUCCUGCUAUGUUGCCCAGGCUGGUCUGGAACUCCUGGGCUUAAAAUAGUCCUCUUUCCCUGGCCUCCCAAAGUGUUGGGAUUGCAAAUGUGCGCCACUAUGCCUGACCAAUUCUUUUUUCUUUAAUAAAGGAUUCAAACCAGCUGGGCAUGGUGGCUCAUGCCUGUAAUCCCAGCACUUUGGGAGGCCAAGGUGGGUGGAUCAUAUGUGGUCAAGAGUUCGAGACCAGCCUGGCCAAGAUGGUGAAAACCCGUCUCUACUAAAAAUACAAAAAUUAGCCAGGUGUAGUGGCGAGCGCCUGUAAUCCCAGCUACUCGGGAGGCUGAGGCAGGAGAAUCACUUGAACCCAGGAGGUAGAGGUUCCAGUGAACCGAGAUCGCGCCAUUGCACUCUAUCCAGCCUGGGCAACAAGAGUGAAACUGCGUCUCAAAAAAAAAAAAACAAAAACAAAAAACCAAAAAACAAAAACAAGAUGCACACCUGUAGUCUGACCAGCUACUUGAGAGGAUAGGGUGGGAGGGCUUGAGUCCAGGAGGUCAAGGCUGCAAUGAGUUAUGAUUGUACCACUAGGUGACAAGAGACGCUACCUCAGAAAAAACCAAAACUACUUGAAAACCAAACAGAGAAUUUAUUAAAUGUAUGCCCACUACAAACAGUAUUCAGUUAUCAAAAGUAAUGAUUAUAGGAGCUAUUGCAGUACAGAAUUUUAUUUGGCUAUAAUGCAAAAUAAAGGAACAUACAAAGUUACAUGUACUUUGCAAUUGUAAUUAUUCAUGAUAACAUCUAUAGAAAAGAAUGAUAAAUUCUAAAUACAAUUGAGUUUACUUAAUCCCAUAGUGAUUUUUAUUCUUUCAGAUGCUGGCCAGGUACGGUGGCUCACACCUGUAAUCUCAACACUUUAGGAGGCCAAGGCAGGUGGGUCACUUGAGGCCAGGAGUUCCAGACCAGCCUGGCCAACAUGGUGAAACCCCGUUCUCUACUAAAAAUAGAAAAACUAGCUGGGCAUGGUGGUGUGUGCCUGUAAUCCCAGCUACUCGAGAGGCUGAGGCAGGAGAAUCGCUUGAAUCUGGAAAGUGGAGGCUGUAGUGAGCCAAGAUUGCCCUGCUGCACUCCAACCUGGGCAACCGAGCGAGACUGUCAAAAAAAACCAAAUGUUAUAUAAAUGAGUUAUUUUGUCUUUUAAAAGCAUUCAUCAUAUAAAUAAGGAAAAAAAAA